CACUCAGUAGUUUUCUACUGCUCAGGGAGAGCGGAAAGUUUUCCCAGCUUGCGUCGGCGGCUGGGUUGCGAGUACGCUCUCUGUCUGAACCCUUGUCUUUUUGCGUACUCAUGUUUCCUCGGCGGGCUUGCCCGCCGACUGGACAACCUUAAAACCUUUUUAAUUUUCAAUCAGCGUCUGAAUAAUUAUAAUAAUUA
rnacentral:misc_RNA from 1 species